CCCGUCUGCUGCCCCCACCAACGAACUCGAGAACAAUGGUUCCUACAGGUAUUUAGAACAAUGCUUGAAGGUGUGAAAGUUAUUGUCCACACCUCUGGGAGUGGUCUUCUGGUGAGUUCAAUGUAACUCGGAUUUCGAAUGACCCUCAGUCAAUAUCAGUUGUUGUUCAAGUAUUACAUGCAUGCAUUCCAGUUAAUUGCAUUACAUCAAAUACAAUCAUAACUGUACAUUGGUAUUAUUCUAUUACAUUUCCAGAAUUACAGUGGUUUUACAAUAUUGUCAUUACUUGAUUACACAGUUUCAGAAUCAUGGCUGUAUUCUGUUGUACACUAUAUGCAUUUUAUUAAUUUUAUGAACCGGGUCUUCAGUUUAUUUUUAAUAUCUUACAAUAGCAACCUAACACAGUGCAGAACAUGACAAAACCCCUCAAGGAGAUAACAUCUUUCAGAUAUAAAACGUGGCCGAAGACAUCUGCAGGGCAUCUGUAAACCAGGAGGAUGCAAUCGGAGUGGAAUCGUGACGCUUUUGUUUUUCCUUGAUUUGGGCGAGACUUGUUUUCCCUCAGAUUCUCAUUCACAUGCUUGAACGCAAGUUGACAAUAAAUCCUCCACAAGAGAAAAACAAAAAGUCAAUUCUGCUUGAUAGUGAAUUUUUCGCUUCACUUUGACAGCCACUGUCGGACUAUGUGCUCGUCCGGCGCUGACUGGCAUCUCCGCUAAGAAUAACGGAUGGUUAUCAAAGAAAAAGGCCUGGGAGGCGUUGCUGAGAGGGGGGCGGGUGCCCAUCGUGCCUAGCAACCCAAGGUCAGGAGCAAUGCCCUCUGGCAGGAAGUGCUGUGAGGAAUGGCAAUGUCAGUCAGAAACCUCCCUCUCCUCCUUGGACUUGUCAAUUUGGCGGUGAUAAUUAAUCUCUCUCUGGUUAAAUAUAAAGAUUGUAAAUCCCAGCGUGAUCCCCCACCAUUAGGGGGCCUUCAUCUGUCAGCUCCAGACCUUGGCUAAUGGCCCAUUGUGAGCCGAGCAUUGGCUGAGGCAACAUACCAGCCACCUACUGGCCCUCCUCAUCAUUCCUUCCUCGUGGAGACAUCACGCCUCCUACAGCAGAAAAGGGGAUAAUCAAGCCGCAGGCAUGAAAACGACGGUUCCAGGCAAUCAAAAUGAUCGUUCUUUAAACCCAUAUAUUUACUUUACGCUCCCCACUGCUCUUUACCAUGUGUUAGUGAGGCCUACAUUAUACCAUGUUGGCUUUAUUAAUAGCUAAUAAAUCAUUUAAUAAUGGAAAUUAGGUUUCCCACAUUGGUCUCUUUGGCAGGUGUACUACCUGCCAAAGAGACCUUUAGCCCUUUAAUCCUGAAGGUUGGCCCCUCCAAUGGUUGCAAAGCAUCUUCAUCAUAAAGCAUUUGAUAACAAUUUAUUAGCAAAACAACUUCACUUAAUGGAUUAUUACAGUAAAGAAACUCUGUAUUAAUGAUUAAAGGACAUUUAUAUAUACAGACCUGAUGGCUUAUUGUAAAAUGAAAGACUCAUGACUCCCUAUUAUCGACUCAUUCUAAUAAGGCAUCACAUCUGCUGCUAUGUUAAAAGGUCAUUAGUUUUUACGGGGUUAUUAGAUUCCCUCUUUCUAAUAAGCUCUCUGCAGUUGUGGAUUUUGAAAAAGUUGUUAAUCAUUCUGGUCCAGAUGCUCCGCAAAUCUUUUUUUCCGAAAGUGGUCAAACUAUUUAAUGGUUGAACAAUUCCAGGAAGAGGAAAGCCAGCAGAAGGAUUUUUUCUUCCGCUGCUUAAAUCUUUUGACAUGAAUAAAUAAGUAUUGACCAAUUGUAAAGUCCCAACUGUGUAAAAAAGUUUGCCUCAUUAAUAUAACCCUGCAUUCUUAAGUUACUUUUAAAUCUAGUAAAUAAUACAAACCGUAAAAAUCUGUUACCUAAUAGGCAUAUAUUAAUAUACAUAGGACUCACUUAUUCACUUAUCACAGUUUAUACGCAAUACAAACAAGCAUCCAGGCCAUCACUGUAAACGCUGUGACACUACACAGCAGGGCCACUAUCACACAGUGAGGUUUGCAGGAUCAACUGAAUGGCUAAAACAUAACCUGGGACUAGUUAUAGAACAUUUCAAGAUGUCACUCAGGCUGUUCAAGCAAGGCAAGGCAAUGCUAUUUGUAUAACACAUUUAAACAGCAAGGCCAUUCAAAGCGCUUCACAUUGAACCAUUUAAAACAUAAAGCAAGGAGGGUACGCAAGGUCAUCUGCGUGUGUCCUUCAGGUUUGCUCGCUUGUUCAGUGACUCCCUCGUAAACCUCCUUGCUAGUCUGCACAGUCUUAUUCAACAGCAGUGGGUGAACACUUGAGCCUUUAAUUACUUGUACACAGCCCUGUGACCCACUUCAGGUGAUCGUUAUAUCACUACAGUGCUGCUUUUCUUUUAAAGAGAAGACCCCCCCCCCCACCCUCGUCCCUUUUCAGUCAGCAUUACACAAACCCAUAAUAAAGUUGUUUGCUUGUGUGCUUCUAGGGGGUAAACUCUGCAAUAGUCUUUGAACGAGCUGUUAGCACUCUGCGCUGCGGUGCUUGUUAAAUGCUUUGUUGGAAGUUUGACACACAGCUUCUUGGGCUGCACUCAACGCUGCCGACGGUAUCCUCAAGUCAUGAGGCUGUUUCAUGCUGGGCCCCCAUGGGUGAGCGAGGGAUGACAGGAUGGCAGAAGAGGCAAACAACAACAUUUGGGCACACACACAUGUACACACACACACGUACACACACACACAGUCACCUUUAAAAUGAGAGUUCCCUGAUGCCAGUGCUGCCACACUGCAUGACUAAUGCGGCCCGCAAGUCACUGUUUCUCCUCACCGAGUCCCCAAGAGCUGAAUUAAUUGGCUGUCAUCACGAUGGCUCUCACACACACACACACACACACGCACGCACGCACGCACACACACACACACCCCCACACACAUGAAUGAUCAAGAUAUAAAUAAACUGAGUCAAGAUGGCAUUUAAGUGACAGGCAACCAUAAACACUUUGUGCUACAUUCAAUGUUGGGCGCUUUCUUUGGGGUUCCCAUCAAACAUUAGGACGGCCAUUACCACAACUGUCAAGUGUGAGUAUGUACCCUGACAUCUCGGGAGAUACACGUCCUUAGCGAGAGUCGGAUGAGACGAUCAAUACCUCUCAUGUCACUUCUAAGUUGUUAUUACAUUUAUGUACUACCAAGGGGUUUUGCCAAAGGUUUUCCCCAAAUUGGAUGGAAACUUAAUGCCAAGAUCGUAUUAAGUGGAAGUGUUUUUUUUGUGCAGGGGGUGCUGCAACAGAUUGGUUGAAGUUAAGGAAAGAUCUUGGAUUUUGUUAAAUUUGAAUGUAUUAAUGAUUUGAUUGGUUUGGACUUUUCUGAUCCCAAACCUAAACUUAACCAUACAAACUUAUAGUUCUUAUAACUUCGACCUUUAUUUGAUUUGAGGAACCAUUUUUAUUGUAAAAGCAGAUAUUACAGGGGGGAAAGUAAACACUGUCAGCAAAUAUUUUGCUUAUUUUUAUUUGUAAACGUGAAAAAGAAGUGGAAGGCAAAUAGCUUAAAUUAGCAAAUUAACACAAAGUGAGCGGGGAAUGUUUGCUGAAAACCUAAUCAUUUUUUUAAAUCGGUACAAAAACAGUUGAAAUGCUAUUCCCAUAGUACCACAUUGCUGGCCUUGUAGUCACGGCAUGAGCUGGUUUUAAUUAGCUUUGUUUGUGUCACAUGGAACCAGAAACCAACACUGUAGCCCUUAACGGCUCAUUUUAUGAACUGAAUCAAGUAUGUGUUUUUAAAAUUAGAUUUUUAUUUUGAUGCAACCGUCUGCAAUGGCAGCUUGACAUCUUAUGUAAAACGUCACAAUCUCAUCACUCUAAUAUUUUAUAUAUAUAUAAAUAUAAUUUAUAUAUAUAUAAAAUAUUAGAUUGAUUCUACUCAUUUCAGUUUAUUUCAAUAUACCUGUAAUACGGACAAUAUUACCGAAACUUCUUGUAAUAAUGACUCACAGAGGAAAGGCCGUCUAGAGAGAUAUAGAGAACAAGAUAAACAUUUUCUGUUUUCUUUCUUUACAUCACAAUGAACAGAUAACCUUUUCAGGACCCUUUCACUCGGACAACUUCACAAUCCAAAUGUAAUGCACUUAAAAAACAAAGAGCUCUGUUCCCCUUUCUAUUGGUCUGUGCUUUGAACCAUAAACCAAAUUUCAGUUCCUCUUGCUUGCAGACUGAAAGAAUAAUGGAGUGUCAUUCCGACCCUCUGCAUAAUACUGUCUGAGUAGUCAUGCGGUGUAAUAUUCUGUCCGUCUGAAAGUGAUUCUUUUUAAAGGAUUUCAAUUUUGUUCCGAGCGCUGAUCAUCAAUUUGAGGGGAGGGAGCAGCAGAAAUAAAUCUCAUCAGACCGCAAGAGACAUGUGUUGUGAUUUGUGCACCUUUUCUUUCAGAGGCAGAAGGCUUUACCUUUUAAUCACCUCACACAUGUUUUACCCGUGUAUGAAAGUGUACGCACGUGCCGAGGAGUGUUUUGUUCUGCCUUUCUCUCUGUCCUCGGGGCUCUUCCUCUCUGUGAGACUCCAGAUGUUGCCGCUUGCUCAUCUGGGAUGAGACUGAGCAGUCAGGUGUGCGACAGAUUCAACCACACGACUGGAAUGAAAAUAAUAAAGCUUUGCCAUGUGUUGCUAUGUGCGUAUGAGUUUACAGCUUAUAAGCGAGAGGCAUCAAUUAUCUGCAAAGUUGUGACAAAGCUUUGUCCAAUCAGUGCUGCUCAUUUGCAAGGCUGCAGAAACUCAAGACUUGUUUUUUUGUAUGUGUUUAAUUAUGAAGAAACCCACCCUCAACCCAUCUGAGGAAAACGACUACAGAGCCGUCUCUCUGCUUCCCUUUUUAUCCAAAACUCUUGAACGUCCCAUCACCACUGUAACAACCUCCUUGACCCCCACCAGUCAGGCUUCGAGGCAGGCCAUUCCACAGACACUGCUCUCCUUGCUGUCUCAGAGCAACUCCACACUGCUAGAGCCGCCUCUCUCUCCUCUGUCCUCAUCCUUCUGGACUUCUCUGCUGCAUUUGACACAGUCAACCACUCGAUCCUUAUUUCCUCCCUUCAGGAACUUGGUGUCUCAGGCUCUGCUCUCUCCCUUCUCUCGUCCUACCUCGACGGCCGCACCUACCGGGUAACUUGGAGAGGAUUUGUGUCUGAACCGUUCCUCAAGGUUCCGUCCUGGGUAUCCUUCUCUUCUCUCUCUAUAACAACUCUCGACUCAGUCAUUCACUCGCAUGGUUUCUCCUACCACAGCUAUGGUUAGUGACAAACCAAGUUAUCUCCAGCUCACAAUCCAAAGGACACGAGGACAACUCAAAGUUUCUGGCUCAAUCACUUUUAUUUAAUUUUUAUUUUGCCUUUGUCCAUUGAUUUGCCAGUUCAGAGUUAGGUUGUAAACCUUUAAAGACAAAGAACAUAAAUUACCUUUCAAAAUUAAACAUUCUCAUUAAACAUUGCCAAAUUAAGUUUUUAACUGGGUUCACAUUUAAAUAAACAUCUUAUACUUUCAAAUUUAAUGAAAUAUUUUAGCAAAUUCUUGAUGCUACAAGGAUUCACCCUAAUCUACUCAGUUGCCCAUGCUUUAAACAUAAAUCAGCGUUUUAAACAAAGUAAAUAAAAUUGGCGUCUUUGGACCGAACCGUAGAGUAACUUGUGUCUCUUCUCCGCUGUGAGCCUCCUACACAGGUGCUCCACAAUUAGUGAUUUCUGCUGGUGCACUCUGGGAAGCGUAGUCACGAUUCAGCUUAACAAUGAUCCUGUAGAUACACGCUCUACAACAUCAGGAGAAUAUGUCCCCCUCUCACUCAGAAGGCAGCGCAGGUACAGAUUCAGGCUCUUGUCAUCUCCUGCCUGGACUACUGCAACUCGCUCCUGGCAGGUCUCCCUGCCACCGCCAUUCGACCUCUGAAGCUCAUCCAGGAUGCAGCAGCUCGACUGGUCUUUAACCUUACUAAAUUCUCCCACACUACUCCACUCCUCCGCUCUCUUCACUGUCCACCAGUGGCUCCCGGCAUCCACUUCAAAACAUUGGUGCUCACGUACCAUGCUGUGAAUGGAUCGGGUCCAGCUUACAUCCAGGACAUGGUCAAACCCGACAUCCCAACCCGCACUCUCCGCUCUGCAUCUGCAAAAACGGCUUGUUUCUCCCUCACUGAGAGCAGAACACUCACGACUCUUUGGUGGUGGAACAAGCUCUCUGAUGACACCAGGACCGCUGAGAGUCUUUACAUCUUCCGCUGCAAACUAAAGACAGACCUCUUCAGACUCUAUCUUGACUAAAACACACAAAACAAACUGUACCACUUACAUUGUACUUAUAAUGGCUCUUAUCUAUAGCAAGUUGUAAAUCUGCUUAUUUGAUGAAAUUGCACUUGUUGAGUUUGUAUCCUUUUGGUUGAAACACACUUAUUGUAAGUCAGUUAAAUGACAAUGUUUAACAAACACAAAACACUGACUGACUUUUCAGCAAAAUCAUUUGAAUGGCAGCCCUGUUCACCUCUCAAAUGCAUUUUUAGUUACCAAGCAACAUUCUCCUCUCAGUGGGCACCAAGGAGUCUAGUGUGCCGCUAAGACCUUUCGGCACAUCGACCAGUCGACGUAACGGUAGCAACAUUUGUGACUUCAGCUGACCUCCGGAAACUGGCAGCGGGAGCACACCCAGCUCCGAGUGUCAGGGAUCAAACUGAGAACCCUGGUAAUUGGGUGACCUCUUUACCUCCUGGCAAACUCGCCACUUCUCCGGAGUCCGAACCUAUUAAUCCACUUAUUUCUCAUCAUGAUCACGGAAGCAUUUGACACCACUUGAGGAAAAUCUUAUCAUAAAACAUAAUCUUGUUAUCCCGGUAGGUGACAAAUGCAAAUCCUUCCAUCGUGCCUCACAAACAGAGAAACUCAUCCGUCUCUCAGAACAGAAGAUUCAAGGUGCUGUGCGGAUGAGGAUGAUGUAUCGCAAUGUCUUUCAAAUGUGAGAGACAGAGAAAUAUUAUUACAUUAACACUUGAUUUCCAUUUCCAUGAAUAAUUUCUUUUCUGUUCUGAUUUCGGUAACAUAUUUCAUCCUUCAGCACAUCUGAAGGAUGAAAACUAUAUAAUACCAUUGAUGCUGCUUACCACUAAAUUAUGAUUUACAGUUCAAAUGAAACCUCUAAUAUGACUGAAAUGCGGCCAAUGGAAAUGUUCUUACCAACACUCCGUCCUAAUCAACCAGCCUGGCAAGCAACUAUUUGUAUCUCAGCCACACAAACAAUGACAACUGUCCAAGGUUGUCUCAUGAAUGUCCCUUGAUAUUCCUUUAUGCUUCUGCCAUUUGCAUUGCAACACUGAAAUGUGAAAAUUGCAGUUGUUUUUCUGUGGCAAUAUGGUAUUUGACAGCAGAUACCAGGCUAUUAAUUCCAGAAAAACUGGUUAUGGGUGGGUGAUAAUUGAACCUUUCUGUUGACGGCCUUCACAUGAUCAAAACGUAAUGGGCCUCAUAUUUAAAAGUGAUGAUUCAUCUCCUUAGUCGUUGUUGAGGCAAAACAAAAUGGCAGCUUGACAUUUCUAAGAUUACUUCUGAUUGAUCUUGCCCGUCCCACUGUGAGCAGCAUACGAGAAGACUAACUAGCUCUGCCUUUGAAUCUGCAGACAUCUAUAGGCUUUGCCAUUCAGCAAAGACCAAACUGAAAACAUCUCUCUAUUAAUUGUUAAUUAAGUGUGUUUUUCUAUAUAGCAUGCCAGAUGUAGCUAUUGCAUGUUAUUAUCACAAUAAAAUAGAAACACUUAUUGCCUCUGUCAAUUCAGUGUAUUGCCCCCUGGGGCCAGUAACCACUCGUCUGCUUCCCUUGCAAAAUUGGCAAUAAAGAUGUUUGAAAAGCACAGUUCAGACCGAGGAGGACUAAGAAUGACGCUCAGACUGUUUUUUUGUUUUCAUCGUGCUUAUACAGCUCAAUGCUGGCUUGGUGAUGGUUUUAUUCUGCUGUUGUUUCUGCAAGAGAUGACAGGCUUUGUGUGAUGCCCGCUGCUGUGUCCACAGACGUUAUCUAUUGUUCACCGAUUGUUGUGGAAUUGCGUGAGUUGUGUCCUCUUUUGUGGUUUCUAGCGGUGCUUCAUGCAGGACGUUGGUGUGUAAUUGAUAAUCCGCAGUGUGCAGGCUGCAAAGGCCCAAGAUAGAAAAUCAAUCUGUUGUUGGUUUGAACAGAAGGGUCACUCGCUUACUUUUUUUGACUUUCAAUCACUCUUUCAAGUAGAUUUUUACACUAAUACCGUACAUUUAAGUGAGUAGUAGGAGUCUAGACAAAUAAUUGAUUGUUUUGGUCUUAAUCAACUAAGUGAAGAUACGGAAGGAUUUAUUUCCAGGAGACAUUAGGGCCACUCUGAUAAAUAAAGUGGUGCUUUGGUGUGAUUCUUUGUGUAGGAACCUUUUUUUAUCCGUCCAUUUAAUUAACACUAGUCAAUUAGUCCAUUAAAUGUUGUGGGUGUUGCUCAAUUAAGAUUCCUUUGGUCAAGGACAGCCCUAAAUGUUGGUUGUUGCUCCAAAGGGAGUUUUGCAAAGUCUCUAUAAUUGUCUGAAGUGAUGUCACUGGAGUCAGCAUCCGUUAGUAGUCAAAGCCGCAACUCUUGGUGGUAACGCACCUCACUCUGCGGCUGAAGUGUCGUUUUUUUCGUCCCACUGUGGUUUAAAAAUGGAGGAAUUAAACAAUAGCUCAGGUUCUGCUGCAGCGAUUUUGAUCUUUAUUUCAAUGUUCCCAUUUUAAGUCUGGCAACGGUUAAGUAAUGAAAAAUAUGUGGCAAGCGUGGGGGUGUGGAAUCCCACAAGUGUUGUUUGGUGAGCGGAUGAAACGGUCACUUUUAACCAAGAGACUUGAGCCAAGGAGAAGUUUCUUGCCAGGACACAGCGGCAACAUUAAAAAGCCUCAAUUAAAUGGCUCAUUCGCAGAACGAUAUGACAUCUAACCAACGUGCUUCAGCGGCUGGCCUUCACCCAGCGGCUGAAGUAGGCCACAAGACUGGCCAGUUUUAGCUCAUUUAAAUUCAAUCAGACUGUAGUGACUUUUUAAAACCAGUAACUAAAGUGUUAUUACUAUCAUUGUUAAAUCAGUGCAGCUUGAUGCUGGAUGUAAAAGCAGGCAGCCCUUCACUGACUUUCUUCUGCUCAUUUGUUGCUGCAUCUGUGUAACUAAAACAAGAAUUUGUUCUCCGGCCUUGGAAACAGUUGUGAAAUAUCCAGUUAUUUACCCCCAAAGUACAUUGAAAUACCAAGCAAGGAAGUCAUAAUUUGUUUUUGAAUCACGGCCGCUGACCAAAAGUGGGGCUCUGCAACUCCAAUUUUCCUUUUCAGAGACGAGAAAUAGCUCCUUUGGUAAGCUCUGAUGUGCAGUGUCUUUUCCCCGUGUGCUUGUAAGAUAUUGUCUUACAGUUAUUAGACUUAAAGCUUGAGCGGUUCCUUGUUUUAAUUAAAUGAAACUCCGAUGUAGCAAGUGUGCCAAAAUUGUAUUUUCAAGGCGAGAGGGCUUUAGCAGGAAUAAAAAAGGAUCUCAGGUAUUGAUUUGUGCAGAAUUGUUGGAGGCUCUCUUGGCCGUCCAACCGAGAUGGCUUCUGACCCAAACAAUGACGGGGUGAGAACCUGCACUGCACAACAAGCACCAAGCAGCGAGUAAUGAGCAGCGCGUUGGCAGUCGCUGUACUCCUGAAAGAAGAAUUUCGUUUUCGUUUUUUUUCAUUCCACGAACCGUGCUGUUUCCCUCUUGUCCCUUUUAGAUUCUACUCUCUUAAGAAAAUUGCUCUCACGUGAAAAUAGCACGCCAUUCUUUUGUCACUCCAAUAAAAGAUGUAACAGCUGCUUCUCAGGGAGUGAAUUCUAAAUGAGGCUUGGCACUGCCCUCCCCUGUCAAAUCGCUCGAUGACCUCUGCUUCGAGCUCCCCUAUCCCGCCUCCUUCCCUCUGUCAUCCUCCCCGUCGCUCCUCAGUCUCCCUCUACUCCUUUAGACCAGGCCCUCGUGUUGACAGGGCUUUCGCACUCGAAUGCAACCAGAGGGAAGCUGAUGUGUCCCGAGUUGCACAGACUCAUCACGGCACGUGAUGGCGCCUCAGCCUUUGCUCUUAACAGGAUCCACAGGAGUGUCUGAUGCGCGGGGGGGAGGGGGGAGGGGGGUGGGAGAAAGCAAGUAAGAGAAUUUGUGAACAAUUAUUGCCACAGUGUUAAUGAGUUGUGAUGCGACCCUCAGUGUGCGGGUUGUUGCUCUUGUGAUUGCUGCCGUCGUCUCUUGAUUGCCACAGAUCAGCGCCGGGGGAGGCAAGGGGACACCGGGGGACACCGGGAGACGUGGCACAGCUCAGACCGUGCGUCCUCCUGAAUCUUUUAGCGACGGCGCUUUAUAAAAACAAAAUAUUCUCAUACCCAAUGAAUGAUUCAUCCUCACAACUUGUGAUUUUCAGAGGAAGGUUGAUGUUAAAUGAUUUUUGAAUGACUACAUUUCUGAACAUACAAUGUGAAACAUGGAGAUAUGGAGGGAGGGGGAGCAGUGCUGUAGAAUGACAGAAUUGGCGGAUGUUUAAAGAGGGAGGAAGCCAGGAUGUGGGAAAAGAUAUUUAGGCCACACCAGGUUGUUUAAAAAAACAAAUCUCUUGCACAAUAUGCAGCGCAUCCGCUACCUCGCACGUCCAGCUGCUGCCGAUUUCCUGGGUAACAUAACUGCGAUGAAAUAAUGCCGUGACUCCUUAUGCAGAACACGCUUUUAUCCUCAGAUCAACAAUCUGAUCAUUAAGCGUCCCUGAUGAUCGGCUCAAUAAUCCCCAAGUCUGUGCUGUAUUUUCCUGGAUGUUGUAGCAAACUGCACUGAGGGAUUAAAUCAGCUUAACCUUUGACCAGUAAUCAUAGGUGAUGAUUAUUAGCAUUUACACAUCCUGGUAUUUUGCAUGAUAGAGAUGGGUGGCCAGGUAGGAAGCAAUUGUUCUGACUUUCACAGCAGAUUUUUGUCCCAAACAAUUGUCAGCUCAAUAGGGAAAAGGUUCAGCUGGACUGCAAUAAAAAGAAGUCACCGGGCCAAUGGUAUUUAUAACAACCAGGCCCCAUUUUUAUAUUAAUAAGUUGCAAAAUCAAUAAAUCCCAUCUCCCUUUGGAAAAUCUAUUUUAUUGGAAGCUCUCCUCAAACUAGGCGCCAGCGUUACAUUUUCCUUGUUCCAACCGAGCAGAUGGAUUUUCAAAAACUUUCAACAAACAGCUUUUUUUUCCAUCUUUGUUUCCUUGACAACAUGUCUAAACAAGGAAUGGUCUCCCAGACAACAGGUCUGAAAAUACGGCAAAUAUCUCGGUGUGUGUUUCGGUGUGUGUGAGAGAGGAGAAGAAGGCGAGAGAAAAGGAGGAAGAGAUUGUUGUGUGCAUGGCAUAUUCCUUCUGUUACACUUCCUUCUUACGCAUUGAUUGAUCUAUUCGCCGCGCUGCUCGCGCAUUCCCGCUCAAACACACUCGCACGCUGCAGCCAUGGAGAUGUAAUCGAUUAAUAGGGUUAUUUCCUUCGUCGAGCCCCUAGCCUGAACCGUUAAGUUAUCCUUUCCAAGUAGAGGAGUGGGCCGGAGCACGCGUCCCUUUUCAUCACCAGCACAAAGCGCUCUGUGUGAAACAAAUAGCGUUUGUUAUAUAUGGACUAGAAAUCUGUUUUCCUCCCUGCUAGAUAUGGACUAUAAUAUGCUUUCCUCCUUGCUGACAAUACCCAGCCCUAACUCUCAUCCACUCGUGGCUAACAAGGCCAACUAUUCCUGCUUCCAUCUGUUAUUGACCCACCCUCAGCCCUGUAGAUGACGACCAUGUCUCUUUGUUUAGCUGAAAUGUUCUUCAUCUCGCCCUUGCCCGCCCUGCUGUAUCCGUAGUUAUUACGGAGGAUUGUUACCGACGCGGUGGAAGAAAAGCUACUAAAGAGCCAAUUAUGAGCGUUGUUUGCAUUGAGUCCUCCGAGCACUACCACCUCAGUACAUCACUUGCAGCGUUAACAGAAUAACUGAAGAAACAGAUUGAAAUUAUUAAUAAAUUAUUGAGAAAAUUGUUUUCUUUGUCGGCAACUUCUUUACUAUCCUUUACUCUUUAAGGAUGACAUGAACACGUUCUUAAUUGAGGCCUAAUGGAUGCUAUGAAGAAGAGGAUAACCUUGCUCUCCCUGCAGAGUACAGUCUGCUGGAAGCUGAGCCUGUUGUGCUGCCUUCGCUAGAGCUUCCUCUGUCAGUAUGGAUUAGAGGGCAGAGCGCUGGAAAACUUCUCCUGACGCCGCUCCAAACUCCCGACGUAUCUGAAGCCAUGCAUGCAUGCAAAAGAUGAGAGGGUUAUUUUUAAAUUCAGUUAAAUAUUUAAAGGUGUAAAGUAGAGGAUUUGUCUGUUGUGUUUUUUGGAACACAACAUUCCAAAUUAGCCCGUCCUCCGUCGGAUUCUUCAGUGAACGUCUCUCCGCCACUUUCAGGAGCUUUCGAAUUUCUAAGCAAAACAUUUAUUCAUGACCAGCGUGUCGCAUACAAAAUAUUGAAGGAGGUGAACAGCUCUGACAGGAGUAGUGAAAUGCAAUUGAUGGAUCGCAGUGCUAUUGAUUGGUUAAACAUAGGGAUUCAUCUGCCAUCUCUCCGUUGGAUUUUUUGAAGGGUUUAGGGUUAGUAUUCUAUUCUUACAAGUUAACAUUGAUUUCUCGUUAAAAAUGCAAUCAUAACACGUUUAUUUUACAUGGACUUCACAAAGUGUGUUUACGGGGUCCCCAUUCACUUUGAAUAGGGUGACGUCAUCAGUUGCAGUCCGUAUUUAUUUCGUAUGUAUCACUACAAAUUUGUAUGUUCAAGAUUUUCGUAUACAUUUUUACGAACAGGUUCUGGAGAUCACGUUGGCCUGUCAGUUAAUGGGCAUAUGGUGUUUGAAUUUAGUGGAGCUUUCUGAACUUGGUUUGAGGGUCUCCCAAAAGGAUAUAUUUCAAGUAUAUUAGAAUUAUCUAAUUCUUCAAUUAUCAGAGUGCAACAGAUGUGUCUGCAACAACCAACGAUGUAUUGUGAUUGAAUAAAUACAACCCAUAUCUGGCAACCCCUCCCCCCCCAUCCAUAUGUCGAGGCAAAAUACAUUUUCUUUUUUACAAACUCAGAAACCAGCUGCAGUGUAUGCAAUCAUAUAGCGCAAAGAUGUCUUGUAAGACGCCUCCUAUAAUAUAACAAAUACCAAAUUCAUUUCGUGAAGCUGUCUUUCCGGCUCAGCAGCAGUUGAGUUCCGUAGAUAAAGCAUAGUGUGUGUUUGCACUGGUAUUUCCGCACUGUCAAUAAAACAAUAAAAGUGAGCUGCAGAGCGGUGGCCAAAUACUGCGCCGCUGUGUGUGUGUGUGUGUGUGUGUGUGUGUGUGUACCCGUGGCUGCAUCAGGAAUCGGCAGGUCAGGUCAGCGACAAGAGAAUAGCCGCUGACGGACAGCGAGAUGCACGUUCACUCCUUUUUUGGAGUUGACUAAAAUAUAAAGCUUUUUUUCCACAAGGAGUUUGCUAGCCGGUGCAACCACUCUGCAAGACUGUUAAUGUGAACCACCUUUUGAUCCCAGUGGAGCGUCGGCACUGCAGGGGACCAGCGAACGCUGGUGAAAACCUGGUGAAACUGGAUGUUUCACAAAGUUUUAUUCAUAAGUUUAGCCCCCCCCCCCCCCAUUGAGCAUAAUGAAUUAGCAAUGUUACGCUUUCAAACACUGCCUGCAUUCCCCACACACGGUACAAGAUGGCAGAAUACGGGCGAUCAGGACGGCGCAUUACAACAGACACUCCAGCAUUCAAUAAAUAUUCAUACGGCCGUGCAGGUGGUAAUCUGAGCAGAGGAAUAUCUGUGUCCACUACAUCUGUCAGUUCAGUUUGCUGUGCAUCUGGCCUGUGCUGUACCUGAGCCAGUUCCUCUAAAUAAAGACAGACUUUUUGCAUUCCCAGCCCCUGCCUUCUGUUCUAAACACAACACUUCUUCCUACCGGUGCCAAGAAGCCUAAAUUAAAUCGGGUUUAAAUAAGAUAUAUCUCCAUCUCUCUAUGCGAGGGUGGACUGAUCCCCGCCGCAGCGCCCUGACAUUUCUCUCAGUCCGCGGGAAGCCUCUGAAGGAUUACCUCGGUGGGAGUGGGCCGCAUUAGCCAGCCCAUGACGACCUGCUCUAUCGAUAGCCGUGGCAGGUAGACCUCAGCAAGGAGCCCUUGUGGGGCCUCUGGAGAGGAGUGAAAUGAGUAUAAAUUGCGAGUGUCAAUUCCAAAGGGGAAAGCUGGUCAUCUGUAAAAGAAAAGAUGUACGAGCAGAUGAGGAUGGAAGAUUUCAGCCCUCUGCCAGGAGACGAGAUGGAGAAGAUGACUUUCCCCUCUUCUGGCCUGUGACGGGACUUCAGGUUCCUUCAAAGCGUCUUUUAGUCGUAUUUCUUUCUCUCAAUAUACCCUGUUGCUUAUUUGCUCUUUGAGUUUAAUUUACAUUUGCAAAUAUCCAGACUUGACUCGUAGACAGUCACACACACACACACACACACACACACACACACCCUCCUAUCGAUUCGCUUUUGCACUGCGGAGCCAUUGUUUCUCCGUGUCUAGAAAGUGAAGGGAGUGAUGACCCAACUAUCAAUCAAGAGGAAGACGAAAGCAACACCUUCUUCCUCAGUCCGCGCGCGCGGUUUGUCGGGCGACGCGUCGUAUUCUCAAGGUCGCAUCGAGCUGACAGCUCAAGCCAAAGCAAAUGUUGGACACCUUUUUGAUGCAGCCUUUACAAAUCUGUUUAAUGAGGAAUUGAUUUCCAACCCUUCGUUGUUUUUUUUCUUCUUUUUUUUUUUCCUCCGGCGUUUGAGCCAGGCAGGCUGUCCCUCAGGCCCGGUAACAAAAGGUGGUUCGGCUCCACAGGAGUAACGCUCAGACGGAGCGAUGACUCACGGACCAUUCAGACGCAUGUGACGCUGGCUGCAUGUCACGACCACACCAGGCUGCCGGGCUCAAGCGGACAGGCUCCUCCGACGCCAUGUGCUGUGGCCUAAUGUUGUAGGAACAAGAUGGGGCUCGGCCAUCCGGGGUCGGAAUGGGAAAAGUUGACAGAAAAGGUGGAAAACAUUCUUCAGACUGAGAACGAUCUUGUGAAAACAUCAGAGGGAUCAAACGCAUCGGGUGUGCUGCUUUUAAGUUUGGCCGCCUGGACAGGAGGAAUAUGAAUAAAUCAUGGAGAAGGUCUGAAGUAAGAUGGCUGCCAACGGAACGGGAGCUUUCGAAUUUCUAAGCAAAACAUUUAUUCAUGACCAGCGUGUCGCAUACAAAAUAUUGAAGGAGGUGAACAGCUCUGACAGGAGUAGUGAAAUGCAAUUGAUGGAUCGCAGUGCUAUUGAUUGGUUAAACAUAGGGAUUCAUCUGCCAUGGACUGAUAUACAUAUAAAUCAUCAUCAAUGAGGAAAAAAUGCCAACCCCAGAGGACAUCAUCUCGGCUAUAGAAGGCAUUUGGCCUUCUUACCCUUUUAUAAUAACUCAAAGAUGGUCAAGUCUUUCUAAAUGGUUAAUGAAAUCCCAGACUUUAGCCAGCUGAGGAAGAGGCUAUCGAUCCCGCUGUGGGGAGGAAAUCCUAUAUCACCAUGCCAGUUCAGAUUAAUCAUUGGACCUGCUGUAUGACAUUGCUUUGCAUAAUGGAAGCAAUCACAUCCUCUAUGAGACAAGUUUGGAAUAACGAUCGAGGAAUGAUCACUCAAAGCCAGAAAACAAGUGCAACAAAUAGAAAUGAAAUGGUGUUAGCCUUCAGAAGAGGGAUUAAAUCAAGCGAUUUAAAAAGUUGUGCAACCCUGUUUAAUCUCAUCAUUUCUUUUGUGAAUAAUGGGCGCACCGUGUGAAUGGUGGCUGGAAUAAUACGUUCCAGCGAAGGCAGUGAGUAGCUUAAUUAGAUCCUUUCUGAGAAAAUUGCCGUUUCUUUUCUCUCUCUCUGACAAACAUCUUUGAUUGACCUGUUGGUCAGCCAGAAAAUCCAUGUGUUCUUAUUGUUCUCGCUGAAAAACCCUCCUGGAUCUGUACUGAAAGGACGGAUAAAAUGAAAUGUAUUUUUCUUUCAUAAGCGAGUGUCCCUGAACCGUCCUGACAUGUCUUCAGACGCGAAACAACUCGAGGUGCGGAUCUGUCAGCAGCGAUCCACGCUAAGCCCCGGCAGAGUAAGCUGGAGCCACUAGUCCAGCUGGGGUUGGACGUCUUCGCCUUGACAUUGCCGAAUACGACAUGCCCCCGUUCUACCGCGGACGUGACGAAUUUAUGGAAAUGGGAGUGGAGCGUUGAGACGGACGGGAGCUGGUCGUCGUCCGUCCCAAGAAGGAAUCAGGUGAAACGCCGCAGGGCUGAAUUCAAAGCGAAUGUGCCCUAUCAAUCUCCUGGUUUCCCUGGGCCGCCUAAUGAAAACUAAUGGACGGACUGUGAAACCAGCCGUCCGUCGUCCAGUGAGCGGUUUCUCUCCUGUCGGCGGUGAGGAAGAGCUGUAAAGUGUUUACACGCAAGUUUUUCUCUUGGGGGAAAGUCUUGUUAAAAGUAAACAAGCGCACAAUGAGGCUUUUUUAACUAUUAAUGAUACUUAAAUAUAGACAUAAGUCACAGUUAUGGGGCCUAUCUAUUUCUCAUAUUGUGGCACGGCAGCCUGAGGAGAAGGAAAUGACACAGUCUUAAAUGCAGGUGUCCUGCAGUAUUUUGCAUUUACAGCUAAGUUGCAAUAAAAUAAAGACAAUUUAUACGUAUAUCCAGGUGUGGGAGCUUUUACAUGUUCCCAUGUUUGAUGUUUGUGCGCCCCUUUGCACUCAAUAACAUUUUAUUUCUGAGUGCCGGGGCCCUUCCUGCGUGGAACCACAGGGAUGGAGACGGACAGAGGACGGGGGGGCAGGCGGGGGGGCUGUUGGUUAUCUCAGCCGGCAGAUAGGCACCACGGAGACGUUCCCAGAUAGAAUGUGACUUUGAUUUCUCACCUCAUUUCACUCUCAGCUGUCAGAUAGGUUUCUGCUCAGAUGACAUCUCCUUCACAACGAUGCGCGUGAAUGUGGAACGGCCCCCGAAAUGAGGCAGCUGCUGCCCUACAUGCCAGACAGUCUCCGUGACAUCAUCACCUCUGCCGCUCUCUUGUGACUCAACAACACUGACAAACAACAAUUACAACAACAAAGCCUAAGCAGCCGCAGCCAUGCAGAUGAUGCACUGCGCCUGUCUCAACGCCCUCCGCCCCCCCAACCACCACCCCCAACUCUGCAUCUUUUGUCUGCUUUUCCAUCCCCCCCUGUGAGCAGCCAUGACCCACUUAUGUAUCCGCUUCUUGUUACCUGUAUGCAGGCAUGUUGACGCGUAGCCAUCUUCACACAGCACCUCCAUUAGCACUGCAGUAUAUUAAGUAAGGGACUGUUUACAUAAUAUAUGCGGGAAUGUUACUUUUGAGUAUCUUUUAAUAUGACUAUUAUAUUAUGGUACCGUUUUUUAAUGAGACUCCCUUUUCCCAAUGGCUUCGUUAAAUAGUAAUAUAUUACUGCUUCGUAAAGCACUAAUAAUACAACCUCUGUUGAGAGAAUGUAAAAACUCCUUUUGUACUUUGUAAUGAUCCCUUUUAUAAAUUGGGGUCAUACAAUGUAAACUACGCAUCUUCAAAUGUGGCAAUAUAAAAUGAGCAAAUAAAAAAUAACUUUUUAUGGGUUAAAAAAAUCUAUCAAGAGAUAAUUACUAAAACAAUGGGCACAAUGCCACUCUUUGUCAUAUAGUUAAAACUGUUAAUACGUUAAUCUCAAGGAAUGGUUCUAAUAAUCGUCUGCACCUGUAAAAAAAAUGCUGAUAAAUACAUUUUUGUAUUUCAUCUGCAGUUUUCUUUUAGAGAAAUUAAAAAGUCAAAGGGAGUUUUCUUAACUCAAAUGUUUUUGUUAUGCAUGGCAGAUACAUGAUACUAUAGACCAUUAAUUAUCUGCAAUCUGCUCACUCGAAUCGGACGGAGCAAUGCAUGUUCUGACCCCCAUCCAUGUGUUGCAGGUGUAUAAAUGUGUUUACAGCAUCUCAGAUGGUGUCAGCUGAAGAUGCCCCUUGUGGAAAAUAACAAAAAAAACAACGGCAACAAAAUGGCUAUAUCCAACUAAGCCCAAACUUCCUGUGCAGUCUGGGACAAUAAAUAAAUAAGAUAUAGUGACUCCAUCCUGCCUCGGCCGUGUUCUCGUCUUGAAUCCCGUGGGGGUUUGAACAGAAUUGGGAGGUAGAACCCAAGUCACUGGCACGCUGACCGGCGCAGAGGACAAACUAGCUCAAAGUGCAGUGGUUGGCCAUGGAUUUUUCUUUUAGCCACCAGGGACAAGCUCUGCAACAGCAUCUACCAGAGCCGCCUAGUGACAACAUAUCUGACUCGUAUCUGUGAUCGGCCGGCUGGGUCUGUGGAAGAGACACCAGCAAACUGCCUCUGUCCUUGUGAGAAUUUAUUAGUGAAACAGAGACACCAGUGCCUCAUGGCACUGGUGUCAUGAGGCCUGCAUAACUCCUCCUUGGCUUGUAUUCUGACCAGAUCUGCGCCACUUGGCGAUACAAUCAGAAUGAGACAGCUGGGUAAUGGUGACCACUCUCCGAUGUUUCAUCAGCAGGGAGUCAUAUGUUAUCCAUCUGCCUGUGCUGCUGUUGAUCACUGCAGUUGUGCACUAGAAUGAGAUAUUUGCCCCGGUUAAAUCUGCCGUUCAUUAAUCCUCAGACACCCGUGGGCGAGUCACAGAGCUACGGUUUAAACCCUAUGAGAAACCUAAUCAAGUCAACAUCCUCAGGAACUAUAGCCGGCUUAUUAUCAAAUUAAAAUCAAAUUCUUCGGGGAGUUUAAAAAGCAUCAUAAAAAUCUGCUCAAUAAUUCAAAGAGUAAAUAUGAUAUUACCAGGCUUCGUUUAUAAAUCCACUAGCCGGGCCCCCCGUCACCAAGCGCUUUUCUGCCCCAGCGAAAGUCUUUGUGCGCUGGCAGCCACAAUAUUAAAAAGGGAAAACCACUCGCUGGUUCCGCAAUAUAAGUGUAAAUAUGAGCACCUCAGAACAGCUGGGUUAUGAAUUAUGGAAGCGGGCUGCCCUUGGUAUUCAUGGGAUGGGGGACAUUGUGCCACUCAAAAACGGAGGGAGAAUGCUCAUAACUUCGCACUGUACUUAUUUGCACACAGGGUCAGAAAUGAGACGGCAGCCGCAACGCUGCCACAUGCUGCUGGCCUUCGGGGGACUUCACUUGUCUUCGUCAUCCCUUUUUUUCUUCAGAGAUGCCUCCAAAGAAGCUGCUGCAGAGGGAUCAGUUUGUGACGAUGGGUAAAUAGGUGAUCGAGAAAAGAGAGUGGUCAGACGCUGGAGGGUCUGAGACAAGUCAGAGGGCUUAUUUAGCAGUAACACCACCCCCCCCUUGCGAAAAACUGCAAUUAACCACUGAGUCUUUCAACUAAAGGAGUCCAAGGCCUGCACCGCCACAUUCAAAGCAUAGUAAGCAAGUUGAGCACGGUUCACAUUUUCCACUUAUGAUUUAAUGAUUUAAUUUAAACAGUGCAGAAUGUCUCCAGAGCGAAAACUUCACCCUUGUAAAAAGGUUAUUGACUUUAGUUUUUGUUUUCGUUAGUAAUGCCAAAACAUACAUCUUCUUCAUAUACUCUCAAUGCUACAUGUACAGUAUUUUCGUUACCAUUUAUCAUAUACAUCUGCUUUAUGACUUGCAGCAAAAUUACAUAAACUUUCUCAUUUUCUGUUGCAAGAUAAUCAUUUCUUGAAUGAUGGUGAAAACAGAUAGGCCCGUUAGUUGUGUUUUAUUUCAUAAUAGACACAGAUAUGUAACACGCAUUGUCAUGCUGUUGUUUUUGUCUUUUAAAAAUAACACCACAACCGCUAUAUAUAACAAGUUUAUUAGAACAACAGUCAAAUAAUAAGCAGUUUAGGUUGGUGCUCUUUGCAGUAAAAUUGAAAUACAACACUAUUGUCAAAGCAUCCCUCCUACAUUGAUGCAACUUAACAUGAUUACAGGUUA
ensembl:lncRNA